rnacentral:rRNA from 1 species
UACGUAGGGUGCAAGCGUUGUCCGGAAUUAUUGGGCGUAAAGAGCUCGUAGGCGGUUUGUCGCGUCGGCCGUGAAAACUUGGGGCUUAACCCCAAGCUUGCGGUCGAUACGGGCAGACUUGAGUUCGGCAGGGGAGACUGGAAUUCCUGGUGUAGCGGUGAAAUGCGCAGAUAUCGAGAGGAACACCAGUGGCGAAGGCGGCUAUCUGGACGGUUUCUGACGCUAAGACGCGAAAGCGUGGGGAGCAAACAGG